rnacentral:rRNA from 1 species
AUUCCAGCUCCAAUAGCGUAUAUUAAAGUUGUUGCGGUUAAAAAGCUCGUAGUUGGAUUUCUGCCGAGGACGACCGGUCCGCCCUCUGGGUGAGUAUCUGGUUCGGCCUGGGCAUCUUCUUGGAGAACGUAUCUGCACUUGACUGUGUGGUGCGGUAUCCAGGACUUUUACUUUGAGGAAAUUAGAGUGUUUCAAGCAGGCACACGCCUUGAAUACAUUAGCAUGGAAUAAUAAGAUAGGACCUCGGUUCUAUUUUGUUGGUUUCUAGUACUGAAGUAAUGAUUGAUAGGGAUAGUUGGGGGUGCUAGUAUUGGCCGGCCUGAGGUGGAAUUCUUGGAUUCGGUCAAGACUAACUUAUGCGAAAGCAUUCACCAAGGAUGUCUUCAUCG